AUUGAACGCUGGCGGCAGGCCUAACACAUGCAAGUCGAGCGGAUGAGUGGAGCUUGCUCCAUGAUUCAGCGGCGGACGGGUGAGUAAUGCCUAGGAAUCUGCCUGGUAGUGGGGGACAACGUUUCGAAAGGAACGCUAAUACCGCAUACGUCCUACGGGAGAAAGUGGGGGAUCUUCGGACCUCACGCUAUCAGAUGAGCCGAGGUCGGAUUAGCUAGUUGGUGAGGUAAAGGCUCACCAAGGCGACGAUCCGUAACUGGUCUGAGAGGAUGAUCAGUCACACUGGAACUGAGACACGGUCCAGACUCCUACGGGAGGCAGCAGUGGGGAAUAUUGGACAAUGGGCGAAAGCCUGAUCCAGCCAUGCCGCGUGUGUGAAGAAGGUCUUCGGAUUGUAAAGCACUUUAAGUUGGGAGGAAGGGCAGUAAGUUAAUACCUUGCUGUUUUGACGUUACCAACAGAAUAAGCACCGGCUAACUUCGUGCCAGCAGCCGCCGUAACAC
rnacentral:rRNA from 1 species